rnacentral:rRNA from 1 species
AUAUCAAUAAGCGGAGGAAAAGAAACCAACAGGGAUUGCCUCAGUAACGGCGAGUGAAGCGGCAACAGCUCAAAUUUGAAAUCUGGCCCUUUCAGGGUCCGAGUUGUAAUUUGUAGAAGAUGCUUCGGGUGUGGCUCCGGUCUAAGUUCCUUGGAACAGGACGUCAUAGAGGGUGAGAAUCCCGUAUGUGACUGGUUGCCUUCGCCCAUGUGAAGCUCUUUCGACGAGUCGAGUUGUUUGGGAAUGCAGCUCAAAAUGGGUGGUAAAUUUCAUCUAAAGCUAAAUAUUGGCCAGAGACCGAUAGCGCACAAGUAGAGUGAUCGAAAGAUGAAAAGCACUUUGAAAAGAGAGUUAAACAGUAUGUGAAAUUGUUGAAAGGGAAGCGCUUGCAACCAGACUUGAGCGCGGCGGUUCCCCUGACCUUUUGGUUAGGCUACUCCGUCGUGUCCAGGCCAACAUCGGUUCUGAGGGUCGGUCAAAGGCCUUGGGAAUGUAUCUACCCACGGGUAGACUUAUAGACCAGGGUGUCAUGCGGCCUCUCGGGACCGAGGAACGCGCUUCGGCUCGGAUGUUGGCGUAAUGGUUGUCAGCGA